rnacentral:lncRNA from 1 species
GGACAUGACCCUGUCCUGUUUUGAAGACUCUGGGAUAAACCAUGCCUGUAUCAUAGACACCCGAUUUGCCUUUCUACCUGUGUUUUAAAUGGCACAGCACUUGAUUUAAUAUUUUGAUAAUUUUGAUUGAACUCAUACAAAGCAUGUGUACCAUGGGUAAAUGGAUGAUGUUAGGGUUAGUUAAACGACUGAAACUUUGGGUUAUAAGAUAAAUAUGUUUUGUAGCUCCAAUGAAAACAAGAAAUAAUAGCACAUUAUAACAUAUUUGAUAACAGGGUGGAAAGCAAGUAUAUGUACGAGAGCAGCCAUGUGUGGUGAUAAAAUUAGCUGUACUGAUAUAAUAAUUUUACAGUAUGCAUGUGUGCCUUUAGUCUUUGAAAGGUUUCCUUUCAGUGACACCACUCAUCCAUUCAGGAAGAAACUACAAGCUUGUGGUUUUGGCACUGUGGUAUUUUAUAGUCUGGUAGAAGAUUUAAAAAAAAAAAAACCUACAAAAACAUUUGGCCUAGAGUGAAUAGAUGAAUGAAAUUUUAUGCUAGUCCCUUCCAUUGUUAUGUGUUUUAUGACCCAAUUAUUUUCUUUCUUUCAUAUUCAGGGAGAAGAGCUACAUUCUCUUCAAACACAAUAUUGAUAUUGAUUUGUGUAAUAGAGUUGUUUUUAUGUAGUUUACCUUUCCUCUCAGAAAAUGUUCGCCUGUUAGGGCUUUGAGCAUCCGUUGAGCUUUAAGGAGAUAUGAGUAUUUCUUACCUAUCCUCUACUUCCACCACAGGACAUAGAAACUCUGGCCAAGGAGCACCCCAAAGUUUAGGUUCCUGAUAUCACCUGGUGUUCCUACUGUCCAGGGGCCAGGCAAAAUUCACAGUACUGUAUGAACAUUGUGCUCU